UCAAAUUUCAAGCUCUCAAGAUGCACUAUCAUCGCUCUUAUCAGAUGACGAUUCAAGCUCCUCUGAAGAUUAUUUCCCAAGACAACGAUUCUAGCUCCCAGUAUGAUGUCUAUUGAUUCAAGAUUGGUUAUGGUUCUGUUCAAGGUACUUUCCUUCUUCCGGUUCGUAUCCUCUCACUGAAGAUUAUCUUCCCGAUUCCGUUCUCGAUCCAUCGCGCCUCUACUGAUUCCAUUCGAGGUACUUUCCUUCUUCCCGUUCGUAUCCUCUCAUAUGGUUGUUCAACCCAUUUUCAUCUCCAUCUUCACUUCUGUGUGUUAUGGUUAGGGUUCUGUGUGUUCUUAAAAUCUAAUCAAAAUGGAUUAUAGUUUUCUUUCAAUGGGUUUGCCUCUUUGUCUUCUUGUGUCUUAAAUUUCCAUUGAAAGUGCAUUUAAUUCUCAGUUUACAUGUAUUUUCUUAGAUGUACUUUAACUGAUACUGUCUUCUUGUGGAUUCAGAGGUACACUUUUAUUGCAAAGGUACCCUUUACAUUUGUUGGCUUUUGCAAUUGGUAUAUGGAACUGGUGUAUUCUAACCUAAAAGUUCCACAAUGUAUAGGUUUUAUAGAAAUUACAUAAUUGUUUAUGUAUCCUCUUCUAAAACCCACUUUUUUGCCUUCAAUUUAAGAAUCCUCCAACAAAUCCCAUGAUACAUAUUGUCUUUGCAUAACAUAUUUACUUCCAAAAAAUCUUAUCUUUACUUUUUAUUUGAAAAGUAAUGAAACAACUCUCUACUCUUUUUUUGUUUGUUUCUUUUGGCUUUGAAAUCCUUUGAAUGUUGAAAGAAAGGUCAAAUUGCUUAUGCGUUUAAUGCGUUUCCCCUUCUUGUAGCUGCUUGAAACUGGAACUGAACACACAACAAUGGAAUCCUCCAACAAAGAUGAAUUGAGUAAUUAAUUCUCCCCAUGAUAAUAAGCAAAUUGUAGAACCAUGUAAAGCCUGCAACUGUUGAUGUGAAGCCUGCCAUUUUUUGCAUGUUACGAGGCUCUAUGAUUGUUUGCGGGUGGCAGCUUUCUUCAUCUUAACUUCUUUAUGAUAUUUGUUUUGCUGCUUCCUAGUCAAAGAGAAAUCAAAGGAAAUCAGUGAUAUCCACUUAUGCAUGCUUCUAUCGGAUCCAGCACCAACUCUAAAAAGUUGAUAGCCAUGGCACAAUGGAUAAGAAGGGGAACUCUCUAUGACCAAAUUGCAUCAAUUAAGGCUUAAUUUUCCAGUUAUGGUAUGUUGUUUCAUGGUUUAGUCUUCAACAACUGUUUGAUGGAUGCUGGUUCAUUUAGAUAGAUUGCAUUUGUUAAGAAUUGAGCUGCCAACAGAGGAUAUCAAGUUUCAAUUGGAUAUAAGGAUGGAACCUGGAUGUUUCAGAUACCGCUGGGCUUCUGUUUGUAAAAACGGAUGUAGGAGAUGAUCAUAUCCUUGGGUCAAAAGUAAAAUUUGCUAUCCAUUUGUACCAUCAAGAUGUCUUCAGCUCAAGAUUCUUUUUAUAUUCUAAAGGAAGAAAUUCAAAAUUUUGUUUCAUUUUGUUAUGUUCUCGUUUUCUGUUGCAGCUUUUAGUC